AUAUUUUAGACAUACUAAACUUAUAAUUCCAUCCAGAGCAUCGUACACUCAGCGUGAGGAGGCCAGCAUACAGAACGAAGCCUUGGACCGCUCGAAACAACGCUCGAAACAGUGCUCGUCCCUUGAACCAGUUAGUGAAUCCAGGUAACGAGAAUGAGGGUGUCACUGACCGGCUCGUUGGUACUCCUGCCCAAGCCCAGGCAAAUGACCUGGCGGGUGGCUCACAGACGGGUGCUGUUGUCCGUACAGUAUAUCAGACAAGUAACAGUGGCUUACCAGAUGCUUCUAACACCGCCCUUUCAUCCUCGGGUGUGUCUGCUACUACGCGCUCACGUGGAAUCGUCAAGAGAAAGAAUGAGUGAAGACGAAAGUUGUGCGUCACCACGUGCUGAUAGAAGCUGCCGCACGUCAGGGCGGAGGGAGGGCAAGGACCCACAAGCAUUUGGGCGAUGGCCGGACCUCGAUGUCGCAUUCUGUCAACUCUCACGUGCCCCUCUGCUGUAAUGAGCUAUCCUCACGUACUCAGAAACCACAAGUUCAUCUUAGGGACCACAGCAGGUAUCAGAGAAGUUUUAGCACGUAAGACAGUAAUCGAUGAUCACCGUUCGGUCGUUAUGUUUCAUCUCAGCAGUACAAAACCAUUGUGGUAACUGAGAAAUGUUUUGGUUCUGUCGCAGUGUACGUCAUAGACACAACCAAAUAUUUUCACAAUCAAAUGUUUCUCAAUGUAGAGAAGAUAAUCAAGUCAUGGCUUUUAUUUCGCUCUGCUCUCAUAGAACAUGAAGCAAUGUUUCUUUUUUUUCCCUACCUUGUUCAGUUUCUCUACGCAAUUGUCCAUUCUCUCUUCCUUAUCCUUUUAUUUAUUUAAUUUUUCUUGCUCUUUCAUGUCCUCAUCCAGCCACGUUCUCUACCUGGAGCAGAGGGACCUCCACUAGCAGGAGGUUUUUGAAUUAUCUGUAUACAAUUUCACUUCAUGCGCAAAACAGACGACCAAUAACUGCAACAAAUGCAGCAUCGACAAGUGAGGUGUCAGAUUCUUUUCCUACUGUGCUGUUUUUCGCCGUGACCGUGUCUGGCCUCAGGCUGGUGACGGCAGCUUUCAUGGUUCCCUGCCGUGAAGGUAACGAGUCACAGUGCGUCCAGACACGGAUCCGGAGUGUGUACCUGCAACGAAAGCUUAACUUACCAGUGAUCUUUCCUUGUGACUGAG